rnacentral:lncRNA from 1 species
AUGGCGUCAACGCAGCUUUGGAGAGAGGAGGAAAAAAAAGCGAAAAUAGGAUUUGCAGCCGAUCUGAUGACAGAAGCAAGAAAUCGGAUCUUUCGAGGCGUUCGCGGACGCGCGGCGGAGGUCCGCGGCGGUGCAGAGCGCGUCUCCGGUGCGUCGCAGGGUCGCUGGUCACUCGGGGAGCCGCACAGCGCCGAGAGCCCUCGUAAAUCCGCUGCUCGCUCGGUUAGGGGAGGAGGGGUGAGCGGCGACUGUUACUGCAGUCAAAACAAGCCCGCAUCCGACUGCGAGCCCAAAUCCUGCGAGGAAACGUCGACAGGAGCGCGCUCGGAGCCGUCAGCGCCGCAGACGAGGCGCCAGAAGCAGGAGAAGCUGGUGGACGAUCGACCUCCGUCGCCGGUCGAGACUGAAAGCUCUGGCCGAGCAGAGCGGAGCGGAGCGGAGCGGCGCAGAGAGAGGAGCGAGCGGGAGAGGAGGAGCGACAUCGCCUCCACCUGGCAGAAAGCGCGCUCAGCGCAGCCUCCCCUCAUUCCCAGGGCCGUCUCCCGUGGGACUGCUCUUACUGGCAUACUCUUAUUAUAACGUAUCCUAAUGCAAAGUGGGGAAGCGACAUCUGGCUGGAGGCUCCUUGUUUCCACUGAGUCACUGCUGGAAGAGUGGACAUGAAUGAAUGACUUAUUUUGACACGCAGACAUAAUAAACUGUGUUCACUUUUCA